GACGAACGCUGGCGGCGUGCUUAACACAUGCAAGUCGAACGGAAAGGCCCUGCUUGCAGGGUACUCGAGUGGCGAACGGGUGAGUAACACGUGGGUGAUCUGCCCUGCACUUCGGGAUAAGCCUGGGAAACUGGGUCUAAUACCGGAUAGGAGCCAUUUUUAGUGUGAUGGUUGGAAAGUUUUUUCGGUGUAGGAUGAGCUCGCGGCCUAUCAGCUUGUUGGUGGGGUAAUGGCCUACCAAGGCGGCGUCGGGUAGCCGGCCUGAGAGGGUGGACGUCCACAUUGGGACUGAGAUACGGCCCAGACUCCUACGGGAGGCAGCAGUGGGGAAUAUUGCACAAUGGGCGCAAGCCUGAUGCAGCGACGCCGCGUGGGGGAUGACGGCCUUCGGGUUGUAAACUCCUUUCGCUAGGGACGAAGCUUUUUGUGACGGUACCUAGAUAAGAAGCACCGGCUAACUACGUG
rnacentral:rRNA from 1 species